AGUGAACGCUGGCGGUAGGCCUAACACAUGCAAGUCGAACGGCAGCACAGAGGAGCUUGCUCCUUGGGUGGCGAGUGGCGGACGGGUGAGGAAUACAUCGGAAUCUACUCUGUCGUGGGGGAUAACGUAGGGAAACUUACGCUAAUACCGCAUACGACCUACGGGUGAAAGCAGGGGAUCUUCGGACCUUGCGCGAUUGAAUGAGCCGAUGUCGGAUUAGCUAGUUGGCGGGGUAAAGGCCAACCAAGGCGACGAUCCGUAGCUGGUCUGAUAGGAUGAUCAGCCACACUGGAACUGAGACACGGUCCAGACUCCUACGGGAGGCAGCAGUGGGGAAUAUUGGACAAUGGGCGCAAGCCUGAUCCAGCCAUACCGCGUGGGUGAAGAAGGCCUUCGGGUUGUAAAGCCCUUUUGUUGGGAAAGAAAUCCAUCUGGUUAAUACCCGGGUGGGAUGACGGUACCCAAAGAAUAAGCACCGGCUAACUACGUGCCAGCCGCCGCAGUAA
rnacentral:rRNA from 1 species